UGUGCUACUACUACCAGUAGUUGUAGUACUCGUACUACUCGUAGUAGUACCAAUACUACUAGUACUACUCGUAGUAGUGCAAGUCUAUAUAGUACAAC
rnacentral:tRNA from 1 species